GACGAACGCUGGCGGCGGGCCUAACACAUGCAAGUCGAGCGGAGCGGCGGACGGGUGAGUAAUUCCUAGGAAUCUGCCUGGCAGUGGGGGCUAACGUCCGUAAACGGGCGCGAAUACCGCAUCCUAUCAGAUGAGCCUAGUUCGUAGUAGCUAGUUGGAGGGGUAAAGGCCUACCAAGGCGACGAUCCGUAACUGGUCUGAGAGGAUGAUCAGUCACACUGGAACUGAGACACGGUCCAGACUCCUACGGGAGGCAGCAGUGGGGAAUUGUGGACAAUGGGCGAAAGCCUGAUCCAGCCACGCCGCGUGAGUGAAGAAGGUCUUCGGAUUGUAAAGCACUGUAAGUUGGGAGGCGUUACCAACAGAAUAAGCACCGGCUAACUUCGUGCCAGCAGCCGCGGUAAUUC
rnacentral:rRNA from 1 species